rnacentral:rRNA from 1 species
GACGAACCGAGCGAACGUUGUUCGGAAUCACUGGGCUUAAAGGGCGCGUAGGCGGCGCGGUAAGUCGGGUGUGAAAUCUCGGAGCUUAACUCCGAAACUGCAUUCGAUACUGCCGUGCUUGAGGACUGGAGAGGAGACUGGAAUUUACGGUGUAGCGGUGAAAUGCGUAGAUAUCGAGAGGAACACCUGCGGCGAAGGCGGGUUGCUGGGCUGACACGUGACGCUGAUGCGCGAAAGCUAGGGGGAGCGAACGGG